rnacentral:rRNA from 1 species
ACGCACGCUGGCGGCGUGCCUAAUACCUGCAAGUAGCACGCUGAAGGAGGAGCUUGCUCUUCUGGAUGAGUUGCGAACGGGUGAGUAACGCGUAGGUAACCUGCCUGGUAGCGGGGGAUAACUAUUGGAAACGAUAGCUAAUACCGCAUAACAGUAGAUGUUGCAUGACAUUUGCUUAAAAGGUGCAAUUGCACCACUACCAGAUGGACCUGCGUUGUAUUAGCUAGUUGGUGGGGUAACGGCUCACCAAGGCGACGAUACAUAGCCGACCUGAGAGGGUGAUCGGCCACACUGGGACUGAGACACGGCCCAGACUCCUACGGGAGGCAGCAGUAGGGAAUCUUCGGCAAUGGACGGAAGUCUGACCGAGCAACGCCGCGUGAGUGAAGAAGGUUUUCGGAUCGUAAAGCUCUGUUGUAAGAGAAGAACGAGUGUGAGAGUGGAAAGUUCACACUGUGACGGUAUCUUACCAGAAAGAGACGGCUAACUACGUG